GACGAACGCUGGCGGCGUGCUUAACACAUGCAAGUCGAACGGAAAGGCCCUGCUUUUGUGGGGUGCUCGAGUGGCGAACGGGUGAGUAACACGUGAGUAACCUGCCCUUGACUUUGGGAUAACUUCAGGAAACUGGGGCUAAUACCGGAUAGGAGCUCCUGCUGCAUGGUGGGGGUUGGAAAGUUUCGGCUGUUGGGGAUGGACUCGCGGCUUAUCAGCUUGUUGGUGGGGUAGUGGCUUACCAAGGCUUUGACGGGUAGCCGGCCUGAGAGGGUGACCGGCGUCAUUGGGCCUGCGAUACGGCCCAGACUCCUACGGGAGGCAGCAGUGGGGAAUAUUGCACAAUGGGCGGAAGCCUGAUGCAGCAACGCCGCGUGCGGGAUGCCGGCCUUCGGGUUGUAAACCGCUUUCGCAUGUGACGAAGCGUGAGUGACGGUAAUGGGUAAAGAAGCACCGGCUAACUACGUG
rnacentral:rRNA from 1 species